ensembl:lncRNA
CUCAAAAUAAUCCGAAUGGAUUUCGAAUAGAAACAUGACAAAAAAAAAAUGCAGAUGAACAGCUCCGAGGGCGGAGAGAGAGAGAGAGAGAGAGAGAGAGAAUAAAGAGGACAGAAGCGUCAGGAUUAGAUAACUAUUCCACACCUGGACCUCCUGGUAGCUCAUCUCUCUCCUCUCCACUCGACUCUGAGACACUGCUGUAGAGGAAGUCGUUGAGGGCGGAGCAGAUAAGCAGGCGGGGCUGAAAUUCC